CCAGCUCUGGGAGGUAGUGACGAAAAAUAACAAUGCGGGACUCUUCCGAGUCUGCGUAAUUGGAAUGAGCACACUUUAAAUCCUUUAGCCACAACCAAUUGGAGGGCAAGUCUGGUGCCAGCAGCCGCGGUAAUUCCAGCUCCAAUAGCGUAUAUUAAAGUUGUUGCGGUUAAAAAGCUCGUAGUUCGAGUUCAGUUCCGGACUGGCUGGGGAGGUCACCGCCCGGUGCUUCCCCGUCAGGCUCCGAACAGCUUUUAUGACUAAAAGCCAAGUCGGUUUCGCCGGGGUGCUCUUCACCGAGUGUCCCGCGCGGCCGGCCAGUUUACCUUGAAUAAAUGAGAGUGCUCAAAGCAGGCUACUCUUAAAAAUAAAGCCCGAAUGUUACCUGCAUGGAAUGAUGGAAGAUGAAUCUCGGUUCCAUUUUAUUGGCUGUGGGAAUCCGAGUUAAUGAUAAACAGGGACGGUCGGGGGCAUCCGUACUACGACGCGAGAGGUGAAAUUCAGUGACCGUCGUAGGACGAACAACAGCGAAAGCAUUUGCCAAGAAUGUCUUCGUUGAUCAAGAACGAAAGUUAGAGGAUCGAAGGCGAUCAGAUACCGCCCUAGUUCUAACCCUAAACGAUGCUGACUAGCAAUCCGCCGUCGUUAUUCCCAUGACGUGGCGGGACGCCCCCGGGAAACCAUAAGUCUUUGAGUUCCGGGGGUAGUAUGGUUGCAAAACUGAAACUUAAAGGAAUUGACGGAAGGGCACCACCAGGAGUGGAGCCUGCGGCUUAAUUUGACUCAACACGGGAAACCUCACCAGGCCCGGACACCAGAAGGAUUGACAGAUUAAGAGCUCUUUCUUGAUUUGGUGGGUGGUGGUGCAUGGCCGUUCUUAGUUGGUGGAGUGAUUUGUCUGGUUAAUUCCGGUAACGAACGAGACUCUGGCCUACUAAAUAGUCGACGGGUGUUUUGGUGCAUGGGCCCCGUUCGACAAUGUCUUCUUAGAGGGAUGAGCAGCGAGUAUAGCUGCAGGAGAUUGAGCAAUAACAGGUCUGUGAUGCCCUUAGAUGUCCUGGGCCGCACGCGCGCUACACUGAAUGGGUUAGCGGGUUCUCCUUCUCCGAGAGGAGCGGGAAAUCGCGUGAAAACCAUUCGUGAUAGGGAUUGGGGCUUGCAAUUGUUUCCCAUGAACGAGGAAUUCCCAGUAAGCGCAAGUCAUCAGCUUGCGUUGAUUAAGUCCCUGCCCUUUGUACACACCGCCCGUCGCUACUACCGAUUGAAUGAUUUAGUGAGGCCUUCGGACUGGCGGUCUUGGACUGGGUUCCAUUCGCUAUCUAACUCCAGCAAUGGGGGGCGGUGGACUCGCCAUGACGAGACG
rnacentral:rRNA from 1 species